CCUACGGGGGACAGCAGUAGGGAAUCUUCCACAAUGGGCGAAAGCCUGAUGGAGCAACGCCGCGUGGGUGAAGAAGGUCUUCUGAUCGUAAAACCCUGUUGUUAGAGAAGAAAGUGCGUGAGAGUAACUGUUCACGUUUCGACGGUAUCUAACCAGACAGCCACGGCUAACUACGUGCCAGCAGCCGCGGUAAUACGUAGGUGGCAAGCGUUAUCCGGAUUUAUUGGGCGUAAAGGGAACGCAGGCGGUCUUUUAAGUCUGAUGUGAAAGCCUUCGGCUUAACCGGAGUAGUGCAUUGGAAACUGGGAGACUUGAGUGCAGAAGAGGAGAGGGGAACUCCAUGUGUAGCGGUGAAAUGCGUAGAUAUAUGGAAGAACACCAGUGGCGAAAGCGGCUCUCUGGGCUGUAACUGACGCUGAGGUUCGAAAGCGUGGGUAGCAAACAGGAUUAGAUACCCGAGUAGUC
rnacentral:rRNA from 1 species